rnacentral:rRNA from 1 species
ACCCUUUAAUGGCUGGUGUUCUAACGUGGGCCCGUGAUCCGGGUUGCGGACAGUGUCUGGUGGGUAGUUUGACUGGGGCGGUCUCCUCCUAAAGAGUAACGGAGGAGCACGAAGGUCAGCUAAUCCUGGUCGGACAUCAGGAGGUUAGUGCAAUGGCAUAAGCUGGCUUGACUGCGAGCGUGACGGCGCGAGCAGGUGCGAAAGCAGGUCAUAGUGAUCCGGUGGUUCUGAAUGGAAGGGCCAUCGCUCAACGGAUAAAAGGUACUCCGGGGAUAACAGGCUGAUACCGCCCAAGAGUUCAUAUCGACGGCGGUGUUUGGCACCUCGAUGUCGGCUCAUCACAUCCUGGGGCUGAAGUAGGUCCCAAGGGUAUGGCUGUUCGCCAUUUAAAGUGGUACGCGAGCUGGGUUUAGAACGUCGUGAGACAGUUCGGUCCCUAUCUGCCGUGGGCGCUGGAGAAUUGAGGGGGGCUGCUCCUAGUACGAGAGGACCGGAGUGGACGCAUCACUGGUGUUCGGGUUGUCAUGCCAAUGGCAUUGCCCGGUAGCUAAAUGCGGAAGAGAUAAGUGCUGAAAGCAUCUAAGCACGAAACUUGCCCCGAGAUGAGUUCUCCCUGACCCUUUAAGGGUCCUGAAGGAACGUUGAAGACGACGACGUUGAUAGGCCGGGUGUGUAAGCGCAGCGAUGCGUUGAGCUAACCGGUACUAAUGAACCGUGAGGCUUAACCUUACAACGCCGAAG